rnacentral:rRNA from 1 species
GACAGAGGCGACAAGCGUUACUCGGAAUCACUGGGCGUAAAGGGCGCGUAGGCGGCCUAGCAAGUCUGGUGUGAAAGCCCAGGGCUCAACCCUGGAAGGGCACUGGAAACUGUUAGGCUUGAGUUCCGGAGAGGAGGGGGGAAUUCCCGGUGUAGCGGUGAAAUGCGUAGAUAUCGGGAGGAAUACCGGUGGCGAAGGCGCCCCUCUGGACGGAAACUGACGCUGAGGCGCGAAAGCGUGGGGAGCAAACAGG